rnacentral:rRNA from 1 species
CCUACGGGAGGCAGCAGUGAGGAAUAUUGGUCAAUGGACGAGAGUCUGAACCAGCCAAGUAGCGUGAAGGAUGACUGCCCUCUGGGUUGUAAACUUCUUUUAUAAAGGAAUAAAACGAGGCACGUGUGCCUUUUUGCAUGUACUUUAUGAAUAAGGAUCGGCUAACUCCGUGCCAGCAGCCGCGGUAAUACGGAGGAUCAGAGCGUUAUCCGGAUUUAUUGGGUUUAAAGGGAGCGUAGAUGGGUUGUUAAGUCAGUUGUGAAAGUUUGCGGCUCAACCGUAAAAUUGCAAUUGAUACUGGCGGUCUUGAGUGCAGUUGAGGUAGGCGGAAUUCGUGGUGUAGCGGUGAAAUGCUUAGAUAUCACGAAGAACCCCGAUUGCGAAGGCAGCUUACUAAACUGUGACUGACAUUGAUGCUCGAAAGUGUGGGUAUCAAACAGGAUUAGAUACCCUUGUAGUC